rnacentral:lncRNA from 1 species
GCCCACGAUGGAGCAUGCAACUUCAUAUUUGGCACAUAGGUUAAUUAGAUGUUCUAUGGUACCAACAGACUCUUGUGUUUCUUGAAUGGUUCCAGUUUCAUUCUGGACAAGUAAGAAUACUUGAUCUGUUGUCACAUUAAGGAAUUUAGUCCUGAUUCCUCUUUCCAAUUCCUCCUGAGUUCUGUUUCUCAGACCAUGACAUACUGGAUCUGGCAAAUCAUUGAUGUCAAUUAAUGCUCCCAUGGGAGAUAACAGUUCAGUGAGUAUUUCUUGGAUGGAGCACCUGACCUGUGGCAUCAUGGACCGGAUGUAACAGGCGUGAGAAAGGUCUUUGGUCCAUUCUUGUAAUACUCUUGUGAGCUUUCUAACAGUUAAUGGGCUGCUGUCAUAGCCAUAUGGGGGGCCGUCUGGGCGAUAGAGGGGACAGAAACUUCCAACAGCAACAAUGAAGGUAUUGCAGGGGUCUGCAGGUCGGUUAUGGGAGACAUAGUCAUCUUUAGAUAACUUACUUAUAAAAUUGACAAAAUUGACUUCUGUUGGGAAGGUUAGUUGGUUAGAAGAGAUUGGGCGAAUAAACCCCCCAGUCACUGGAACACCAGAUGCUCUAAGAUGGUCUGAUCUGGCUUUGAGGAGCAUGGUAAGUAUGCAUGGGGCGAGUGGAUUAUCCCCCACAGUCUGAUUGCAGAUGAGAUAGGAGCCACCGUUGAUUGCUACAGGGAUGACUCCUGGCAUGUUACUAAUGGAUGACAGGUUGGCAUGUAAGAAAUUUCCUGGUCCUGUAAUUGUGGUGUGGUGGCAGGUGGCCAUUUCACUUCCUGUUAGUUUUAUCAUGGUAGGUACAGCUUCUGGAAAGGUUGAGAGGCUGUUCGCGUAGGUGGUACGCCCAAGCCCUUGGGCCAACAUAAUGUUUGCGUGGACAGCAUCUGGUUCUGAGGACAGGACAGUGGGGCUAGUCAGGCGACUGGAGGGUUCGAAGGUAGAUAGGUGGUCAUAUUCCAGCUGUGUACGCUCUCUGCCAUAUAUGAACCAGUACAGUAGUUCUAUCAUUACAAGUAUGGCGGCGUUUGGUUGGGUAUAGAUUCCACAUAUCCUCCUAGAAUAGUCCAUUCGCGUGGUUCCCAUAGGAAGAAUAUAUCCCAGGAGUUCUGUCAGUUCAUUGCACCAGGUCAGGGGCCGUUGCCCAGGGAAGGGUCCAUAAAUAAAAUCUAGCCGCUGGGCAUCGCCAUGCCCAUCAUCUGGGGGCUCUCUGGUGCUAUCAAGCGUGAGAUCGCUGCAGGUGAGGCGUGCUGCCACCUGUAUCCAUCGCCUAAUUCGUCUCGAGCUGGCACGCCCAUUCCUGGUCCGACUGUUCCUUAUAGUCAAGGUGAGGACACCGCAUAUACUGGUGCUUCGGAGAGGAAAGUGAAUUGUUCUUGACAGUAUUAGUCUGUUAAGGACAUGUUCCUCCAAUGUGGUCCUGGCCCUGGCAUAGACUUGGAUUGCCCAGACGUCCUCAUCCAUUUCUGUGGUGUUUAAUGUUUAAGUGUAAAGGUCUGGAUUUUGGAAAGUCCCACCUAAGCCGAGGAGGGUCGAGGAAUAUUGAUUUUUGUAGACUCUAAUAUUGCAAAUCAGACACAGGUUGUCCUUAUCAGGUUUCUCUUGCUGCCAGUGCCCAUAAGAGCAGGUGGUGCAGACACUGUCUCCAGGGACUCUCUUGUGCCUCCUGGUCGUCUAGGUGUUGCCAUUGGUGCAAGUACAGCGAGUCUGUGGGGUUAAACACCAUAGUGCAUGCUCUCCCAUCAUAACUGCAGAGUGCAGCUACGUUAGUGCCGCCAGAGGGGUUUCUAGGAUAGUAUGUGGCGGGGGCGGUUCCAUCUGCAGUUGCAAACCUGGCAGCAAUCAGCCCAGGGCUAAGUGUAUCACCUGAAGACGAAGAGGAAAUGUCAAUCCCCAAGUGGGUACCGCAUGCCCAGGCCGGACAAGCUGAGCCAUGCAAGGGUCUAAAGAAGAUGCUGUUCGAGGGGGGUAGCGACACAUUCAGCCAAAGACUCUGCAGAAGAGGUACCUUGUUUGCUGUAAGACGAGGCCUGUUAAUCAGUUCCUCCAACUCUGUGGCGAUGAAGGGGCGAUCACACCUCCAUUCUGUUAAGUUAAGAGCAAGGAGUACUUGGGUGGCAAACUCUCCAAAUCCUAGAAUAAAAGUGUGUUUUUGCUGAUAAAA